CUGCUUACUAAGUCCUUCUUUAUAUGAUUUGCACUCUCCACACGUCUUUUCUGUGGUUUAGACAGCAUAAAUUAGCAGAACAACAUAUCCAGUAGUACAUUAACCGUGCGAUCCAUGCUGUUGUUUACAUCCGAGUAUCCCCAGUAUGGACGCGUAUCCGGGUAACUGACCAAAUCUUGAGUUAACCGACAAGAAGAAAAAUGUUCUGCCAAAACAAGCAUUUCCUCUACUUCCUCUAGCGUGUUUUUUAAUAUUCAUGUAUAUAAAAAAAUGUAUAAAAUCUUACAUGUAUAUACCGCUGCAAUUUAUAAUCCCGCCGUCUGUUUGUCGCGCAUGCGCAUUCGUGAAGCGAAGUUUACAGUAGACUGGCGUGUUGGGCGAGCCUUUUCUGACAAUUUUAGAAUGGAAUUACUCCCACGAAUUUCUCAUAAUUACAGAAGAGGAUAUGACCGUAAACUGCUAUGAAGAGCAAGCUCCAAAUUGGCGCCACCUCCUGGUAGAACACUGGAGGCACUCAGGUCAAGAAGGUUCUCCACUGAGGUGUCCAUAACAGCUCCUCCCUGACUGGUUCCUCUGAACACAUCUCAUGCUCUCUUCCUAUUAUCAGAUCUGGCAGCUCAGCUUGGAACUCUGGGCC